rnacentral:rRNA from 1 species
AUUGAACGCUGGCGGCAUGCCUUACACAUGCAAGUCGAACGUGAAAGCGGGGCAACCCGCAAGUAGAGUGGCGGACGGGUGAGUAAUACAUCGGAACGUGUCCAGUAAUGGGGGAUAACCUAGCGAAAGUUAGGCUAAUACCGCAUACGAUCUGCGGAUGAAAGCGGGGGAUGCGGCACUAAAGGCUUUUGGCGAAGGUGGCCAAAGGUGAGUCAAGAGCUUUUAGUGCUGCACCUCGCGUUAUUGGAGCGGCUGAUGUCUGAUUAGCUAGUUGGUGAGGUAAAGGCUUACCAAGGCGACGAUCAGUAGCUGGUCUGAGAGGACGCCAGCCACACUGGGACUGAGACACGGCCCAGACUCCUACGGGAGCAGCAGUGGGGAAUUUUGGACAAGUGGGGCAACCCUGAUCCAGCCAUGCCGCGUGAGUGAAGAAGG